UCCCAAUAAUACACCAGAGAGGAGCAAGCAAAUUGUAGUGAUGGGUUGCGGCAACAUUUCGACACUGACGGUCAUGGUGGUGGUGGUGGCCUUGUUGAGCUGUAUGGCUCCCCCAAGCAAGGCACAGCAGCAGACCUGCGCUAAUGACCUGCUGCCUUGUGGAGACUACCUCAACAACACCGACCAACCAUCCACCACCUGCUGCACCGCCAUCAAACAGACUGUGGAUACUCAGCUCACCUGCCUCUGCACUCUAUAUACCACCCCCGGCCUUCUCAAGGCCCUUGGCGCCAACAUCACCUCCGCUGUUAGAAUCGCCAACGCUUGCGGCGUCAACUCCCUCGAU
rnacentral:lncRNA from 1 species